GGCGGACUGGUGAGUAACGCGUGAGGAACCUGCCUUUCAGAGGGGGACAACAGUUGGAAACGACUGCUAAUACCGCAUGACGCAUUUUGAUCGCAUGGUCGAAAUGCCAAAGAUUUAUCGCUGAAAGAUGGCCUCGCGUCUGAUUAGCUAGUUGGUGAGGUAACGGCCCACCAAGGCGACGAUCAGUAGCCGGACUGAGAGGUUGACCGGCCACAUUGGGACUGAGAUACGGCCCAGACUCCUACGGGAGGCAGCAGUGGGGAAUAUUGGGCAAUGGGCGCAAGCCUGACCCAGCAACGCCGCGUGAAGGAAGAAGGCUUUCGGGUUGUAAACUUCUUUUAAGUGGGAAGAGUAGAAGACGGUACCACUUGAAUAAGCCACGGCUAACUACGUGCCAGCAGCCGCGGUAAUACGUAGGUGGCAAGCGUUGUCCGGAUUUACUGGGUGUAAAGGGCGUGCAGCCGG
rnacentral:rRNA from 1 species